GACGAACCGUGCGAACGUUGUUCGGAAUCACUGGGCUUAAAGGGCGCGUAGGCGGCUCGCCAAGUCAGGGGUGAAAUACUUCAGCUUAACUGGAGAAGUGCCCUUGAUACUGGCGGGCUCGAGGGAGGUAGGGGUCUGUGGAACUUCUGGUGGAGCGGUGAAAUGCGUUGAUAUCAGAAGGAACGCCGGUGGCGAAAGCGGGUCUCUGGGCCGAAAUUGACGCUGAGGAGCGAAAGCGUGGGGAGCAAACAGG
rnacentral:rRNA from 1 species